rnacentral:rRNA from 1 species
ACGUGAUCUGAGUUCAGACCGGAGUAAUCCAGGUCGGUUUCUAUCUAUAAAGGGCUUUUUCUAGUACGAAAGGACCGAAAAAGCAUGGCCAAUGACUAAUUAAGCCAUCCAAUUAACUUUUGACUUCAGCUCAAUCAGUAAAUGACCUAAAACCCUACUUAAAAAGUA